CAACUUGCGAUGAUGAAGAGAGUACGCAUAACGAAUACUCCAGAGAGCUGAUGGAUGGUGCGAAUCAGUGUAGGGAUUAUGCCGAAGUGGGCUUCUGAGCAUCCAAACCGAAACAAGAUUUUGAGUAGGCUUUGGCGAAAGUCUCGUCGUUACAAGAGACGCGUAUUCCAGCAUCCAGCAUGCGUCGAUACGUCAAAGCGAGUCCGAUUUGCGCGAAUCGGGCUAACGAAGGUGGUACCACGGGGUUUCUCGUCCUUUUC
rnacentral:ncRNA from 1 species